CACCGAAGCUGCGGCAGCGAACGUAUCACCCAAGACAACUUUACGGAGUUGACGAUUGACGGAGCGAAGCGACGUCAAAGCGUUCAUUAAAGUCGAGUUGGCUUAGGGAUACGUUCGUUGGGUAGGGGAGCGUUCUGUAAGCCUGUGAAGGUGUGUCGUGAGGCAUGCUGGAGGUAUCAGAAGUGCGAAUGCUGACAUAAGUAACGAUAAAGCGGGUGAAAAGCCCGCUCGCCGGAAGACCAAGGGUUCCUGUCCAACGUUAAUCGGGGCAGGGUGAGUCGACCCCUAAGGCGAGGCCGAAAGGCGUAGUCGAUGGGAAACGGGUUAAUAUUCCCGUACUUGGUGUUACUGCGAAGGGGGGACGGAGAAGGCUAUGUUGGCCGGGCGACGGUUGUCCCGGUUUAAGCGUGUAGGUGUGUGUUCCAGGUAAAUCCGGUUCACUUUAACACUGAGGCGUGACGACGAGGCACUACGGUGCUGAAGCAACAAAUGCCCUGCUUCCAGGAAAAGCCUCUAAGCAUCAGGUAACACGAAAUCGUACCCCAAACCGACACAGGUGGUCAGGUAGAGAAUACCAAGGCGCUUGAGAGAACUCGGGUGAAGGAACUAGGCAAAAUGGUGCCGUAACUUCGGGAGAAGGCACGCUGACACGUAGGUGAAGUGAUUUACUCAUGGAGCUGAAGUCAGUCGAAGAUACCAGCUGGCUGCAACUGUUUAUUAAAAACACAGCACUGUGCAAACACGAAAGUGGACGUAUACGGUGUGACGCCUGCCCGGUGCCGGAAGGUUAAUUGAUGGGGUCAGCGUAAGCGAAGCUCCUGAUCGAAGCCCCGGUAAACGGCGGCCGUAACUAUAACGGUCCUAAGGUAGCGAAAUUCCUUGUCGGGUAAGUUCCGACCUGCACGAAUGGCGUAAUGAUGGCCAGGCUGUCUCCACCCGAGACUCAGUGAAAUUGAACUCGCUGUGAAGAUGCAGUGUACCCGCGGCAAGACGGAAAGACCCCGUGAACCUUUACUAUAGCUUGACACUGAACAUUGAGCCUUGAUGUGUAGGAUAGGUGGGAGGCUUUGAAGUGUGGACGCCAGUCUGCAUGGAGCCGACCUUGAAAUACCACCCUUUAAUGUUUGAUGUUCUAACGUGGACCCGUAAUCCGGGUUGCGGACAGUGUCUGGUGGGUAGUUUGACUGGGGCGGUCUCCUCCUAAAGAGUAACGGAGGAGCACGAAGGUUGGCUAAUCCUGGUCGGACAUCAGGAGGUUAGUGCAAUGGCAUAAGCCAGCUUGACUGCGAGCGUGACGGCGCGAGCAGGUGCGAAAGCAGGUCAUAGUGAUCCGGUGGUUCUGAAUGGAAGGGCCAUCGCUCAACGGAUAAAAGGUACUCCGGGGAUAACAGGCUGAUACCGCCCAAGAGUUCAUAUCGACGGCGGUGUUUGGCACCUCGAUGUCGGCUCAUCACAUCCUGGGGCUGAAGUAGGUCCCAAGGGUAUGGCUGUUCGCCAUUUAAAGUGGUACGCGAGCUGGGUUUAGAACGUCGUGAGACAGUUCGGUCCCUAUCUGCCGUGGGCGCUGGAGAACUGAGGGGGGCUGCUCCUAGUACGAGAGGACCGGAGUGGACGCAUCACUGGUGUUCGGGUUGUCAUGCCAAUGGCACUGCCCGGUAGCUAAAUGCGGAAGAGAUAAGUGCUGAAAGCAUCUAAGCACGAAACUUGCCCCGA
rnacentral:rRNA from 1 species